CGGGUCGUAGUACAACGGUAGUAUGCACGAUUCGGGUUCGUGUGAUCCGAGUUCGAUUCUCGGCGGCCCGACCA
rnacentral:tRNA from 2 species